CACGUAGGGCGCAAGCGUUAAUCGGAAUUACUGGGCGUAAAGCGUGCGCAGGCGGUUCGUUAAGUCAGAUGUGAAAGCCCCGGGCUUAACCUGGGGACUGCAUUUGAUACUGGGUUGCUUGAAUUCGGGAGAGGAUAGCGGAAUUCCCAGUGUAGAGGUGAAAUUCGUAGAUAUUGGGAAGAACACCCGUGGCGAAAGCGGCUCUCUGGAACGGUACUGACGCUGAGACGCGAAAGCGUGGGGAGCGAACAGG
rnacentral:rRNA from 1 species